UACGAAGGGGGCUAGCGUUGCUCGGAAUCACUGGGCGUAAAGGGUGCGUAGGCGGGUCUUAAGUCAGGGGUGAAAUCCUGGAGCUCAACUCCAGAACUGCCUUUGAUACUGAGGAUCUUGAGUUCGGGAGAGGUGAGUGGAACUGCGAGUGUAGAGGUGAAAUUCGUAGAUAUUCGCAAGAACACCAGUGGCGAAGGCGGCUCACUGGCCCGGUACUGACGCUGAGGCACGAAAGGCGUGG
rnacentral:rRNA from 1 species